GUCCGCGCGCCCCCGCCCCGCCCCGCGGUCCCCAGCCGGGCCGGGCCUCGUCCCCGGCGGCGCUGAGGGUGCCUCCCUCUCACCGAGAGGGCUCGUGGGCGUUGCUGGGGGCAUCAAGUCCCGAAUAGGAAUGUUAUGCUUUUAAACAAGAGAUAAAACUGCUGAAAAACCAGAGCUAGACCCAGCAACAAACUAAUGGAGAUGUGCAGCAAAAUGGGUUGAGAGCACGGCUGCCUUAUUCCACUUUGUUUUUGCAGUGUCUUCAGUUUUGCUUCUGAGAGUGCUCCGUAUCUAAAUGGGUUUGUCAAAUUGGCAAAGAAGAACAGACAAACUCCGGUGUCUGUUGCAUCCUGAUUUAUCCACUUUGCUGCGGACAGCCUAUGAAGGAGAUCUACUGCAAUGUGCCUGUGAACCUUCCGUGCAAACAGAUAAGGAGUUUCUGUUUUCAACCAGUGCUGGCUGAGCUGAAACU
rnacentral:lncRNA from 1 species